CACGUGGGGAACCUGCCCCAUAGUCUGGGAUACCACUUGGAAACAGGUGCUAAUACCGGAUAAGAAAGCGGAUCGCAUGAUCAGCUUUUAAAAGGCGGCGUAAGCUGUCGCUAUGGGAUGGCCCCGCGGUGCAUUAGCUAGUUGGUAAGGUAAAGGCUUACCAAGGCGAUGAUGCAUAGCCGAGUUGAGAGACUGAUCGGCCACAUUGGGACUGAGACACGGCCCAAACUCCUACGGGAGGCAGCAGUG
rnacentral:rRNA from 1 species